rnacentral:lncRNA from 1 species
AUGGCUUGUGAAAGGGAAUUUAGCACUCUAGAGAAAGAUAUGCUAGAAGCACUUUCCUCAGAAUAUCAAACGCAGCAGCUCGACAACAUGACAGAAAAAGAUCCAGAUUUGUGUCACAUGUCAGACACUGAAUUUCAGUCCCACGAUUGCAAAGAUGAUGCAUCUGGAGCCCAGCAGACACUCGCAGAGGCUGUGAAGGACAUACUCAACGAUCAGCCCGAGUACGUCUCAGUGAACUCACCAAACAUGUCAGAGUUUGAAUAUCAACUGUUGAAGUCCAGCAGUGCCAAGGAUCUUCAGAAGGUGGCCUCUGAGAUCAGUGCAGAGAUAGUACGGUCCAAGCACCGCCUCGUCUCACAGGCUAAUUCAAAAUGUUGGAAAAUGGUUGAAGAAAAACUCAAGGCCUUCUCCUUUUGUAAAUACGUCAAAGAGUCAAUUUUGAACUUGUGGGCGGCACUUAAGAAAAAAUGCAACCACUCAUCAAAUCAAGAGGAGGGACUACAGAAGGCCUUGGAGGAAGCAGAAUUGUUGGUGGAGUCAAUGUCCAAAGUUAAGGGAGGUAGGACGUUAGAUGAGAAGAAAAACUGUCAAGAAUUCUUCCAAAAAGCUGUCCAUAACUUUGAUACAGAGGCGCACAAAAAAAUCUGCAGCCAGCUAAGUGACAUUAUAUUACAGCACUUGGGUACUGAGAGAAACAUGAAAAACAACAUCAACAAACACAUGGACGCCUUUAUAAAAGAUAUGUAUAAAUUUGCCCAAGCUCAGACACAACAGCAGAAGGACCACGGAGUUGUACAAAUGGCACUGGAAAGGAUUGAGGAAGCUACCGACAAUCUUUCUAUAUCCCCUCUAUGGCUGCCUAAAGAAAGCCUCACCAGUGAAAGUGAUGAAGACGAUGCAGACAGCCUUCUACCCUCCUUAGAACCAUUUGAAGAGAGGAACCACAUUUCCAAUAACCUGGCAGUACAACUUACUUGCGAAAUGUUGGGCAAUCUGUUGCCUCAUGUGCCUGCAAAGACACUGAACGGCAUCAUCUCCAAAAUGAAGAUAAUGCUCAUGAAAGAAUUUGCAAGUGUGGAUAUUCCCUUCACAAUAACUGAAGACCACAUCAGACUAACUGUCAAGGCUGUGUUCAAAGAGCUGCGCGAGAAGAUGGGGAGGAAAGGCUGGAUAAGGCUAAACUUUGUGUUAGACUGGCAGUACGAUUCCAUCAUCAAAAGCACCAUGAAACAUCUGCAAGCUUGCCAAGAAAAGAAUAAAUUCAUAUCCUUUUUCAAGAAUAUCUUCAAGUUCAGAGCCUGGCCUGUUUAA